UCCCUCUCAGGAUCGCAUCUGUGGGUUUCCAGUACACUACCAGUCUCAGCUACAGGAGGGAGAGGAAAGCAGAGGCCUAUCCAUUCCAUUCCUAGCUUGGGCAGUGGCUAGUGAGUGGAAGGCAAUCUGCUACAGGU